GACGUAGGGCGCGAGCGUUGUUCGGAUUUACUGGGCGUAAAGGGCGCGUAGGCGGCGCAACAAGUCACUUGUGAAAUCUCCGGGCUUAACCCGGAGCGGCCAAGUGAUACUGUCGUGCUAGAGUGCGGAAGGGGCUACUGGAAUUCUCGGUGUAGCGGUGAAAUGCGUAGAUAUCGAGAGGAACACCUGCGGCGAAGGCGGGUAGCUGGGCCGACACUGACGCUGAUGCGCGAAAGCCAGGGGAGCGAACGGG
rnacentral:rRNA from 1 species